rnacentral:rRNA from 1 species
GUGCCAGCCGCCGCGGUAAGACGAACCGUCCGAACGUUAUUCGGUAUCACUGGGCUUAAAGCGUGCGUAGGCGGCUUGGUAGGUGAGAUGUGAAAGCCCACGGCUCAACCGUGGAAUUGCGUUUCAAACCCCCAAGCUCGAGGAAGAUAGGGGUGAUGGGAACUUAUGGUGGAGCGGUGAAAUGCGUUGAUAUCAUAGGGAACACCGGUGGCGAAAGCGCAUCACUGGAUCUUUUCUGACGCUGAGGCACGAAAGCUAGGGUAGCGAACGGGAUUAGAUACCCCGGUAGUCCUAGCUGUAAACGAUGAGCACUGGGUUGAGGGAACUUCCACAUUCUCUCGGCCGUAGCGAAAGCGUUAAGUGCUCCGCCUGGGGAGUAUGGUCGCAAGGCUGAAACUCAAAUAAAUUGGCGG